rnacentral:rRNA from 1 species
GACGAACGCUGGCGGCGUGGUUUAGGCAUGCAAGUCGAGCGAGAAAGUCCUUCGGACGAGUACAGCGGCGAAAGGGUGAGUAAUAUAUAGGUAACCUACCUCUUGGACUCGGAUAAUUCCUGGAAACGGGUUGUAAUACGAGAUCGUCCUAUUGGGUCGCAUGGCCCGACUGGUAAAUGGUAGCUCUGCUUCUGCCGAGAGAGGGGCCUAUAUCCUAUUAGCUAGUUGGUGAGGUAAUGGCUCACCAAGGCUUUGAUGGGUAGCCGGACUGAGAGGUUGGCCGGUCACACUGGGACUGAGACACUGCCCAGACUCCUACGGGAGGCUGCAGUCGAGAAUCUUCCGCAAUGGGCGAAAGCCUGACGGGGGCACGCCGCGUGAACGAAGAAGGCC